CCUGAAAGAAAUAAUUACAUUGCCAGAAAGAAGAAAUUACAUUGCUAGACACACUAAACCUCUUGGAUUUUUGCGAUAGAAUGCAAUGAACUACAACUAACAAAGGAUGCAUCCCUAGCAAGAAAUAGAACUACAACACACAUACUACUAAGCACAAGGGUAAUUCGAUUCUUAAAGCAUUUGAUCUUGUUUCAAACGCCCCUGAUUUCCUACAGCACUGUUUCGAUUUGAAGAUGUGACACUACUUCUUCACCCUGCCUUGAACUGCCUUUAACGUAAACUCGUUCCUCCCUUUGCUUUAUGCAAAAAUCGGACACCCAAGUGAAAUACCGACAAUCAGACGUCUUCUAGUUCGGGCAUCGAAAGAUAGCCCGACCUCGAUUCUUCUCUAUAGUCGCAACCUUCAGCACCGGCUCGCAGUCGUUGGCGCACUUCAUUGAACUGGAACCGUUUUGAGUUGAUCCCAUGGAAAUCUCGCAUGCCUUCUUCCUACCUCCGCUAUUAGUUUGCGAAGAAAAGGAACUCAUAGACUAUAAUCCGACAACAGGAAGAAGAAGGAAAAAAGAAGGUUUCUU
rnacentral:lncRNA from 1 species